rnacentral:SRP_RNA from 1 species
GACAUGGAGGCACACACAUGUAAACCUAGCUACCAGAGAGGCUGAGGCCAGCUGAUCUCCUGAGCUCAGGAGUUCUGAGCUGCAGUAGGAUAUGCUGAUCCAAUGUCCUCACUAAGUUUGUCAUCAGUAUGGUAAGCCAUUGGGAGCAGAGGACGACCAGAAGGCUUAAAGAGAGACAAACUAGCCCAGGUCAGAAAUGGAGCAGGUCAAAACUCUUUGGUUGAUCAACAGUGAGAUUGAGGUUAUAAGUAGCCUCUAAAUUUCCAGCCUGAGUGAAAAAAGGAAAUGGA